rnacentral:misc_RNA from 1 species
ACACCUCAACUCCUCAUGGUUUGCCAUGAUGAGCUUGGACCUUGGGGGUAUUGCUGGCCCUGUGGGUUGGCUCCUCUCAAAUGGAUCAGCUUGCCAGUGUUUGGUGGCAUCACAGGUGUGAUAAAUAUCUACGCUUGUGGUUUUCCACCAUGUAACCUUCAGCGAUGGGGGUGCACCGGAGCUCACAAAUGUCCCUCCUCAGCGAGGACAGCUUUUGAAC